rnacentral:lncRNA from 1 species
CAACUGUGCAGAGUUCUCAUGAAUAAUGAGAUACACAAGAUACAUUUUUUUUUAUUGUCUGGCAAAUAGGUGCUCAACAAAUGUAAGAUAUUUUUAUUAGCUAGAAUUUGUGUAGAAGGUAUGUGAGUUAGAAUUUAAUCUCUUACCUAGGGCUUAAUUAAAUCUGCAAUUUGUAGGCAUCAAUGGACACGCAAUUUGAAGCCAUCUUGAAAGCACGGGUGAAAAUACACUGUAUGAAAAGCUCUGGUAAGUUCUAUCAUUCAUCAGCUUAAGCAGUUCCAAGCAGAAUGACUGUUAGUGACAUUGAGAUUGCAGCUAUUGAAUGUACUUUAGGUGGUAGAGUUUGUCCAACAUAAUCUCUUCCAAGCUACUAGCGAUACUGUUCAGCUUUCCAUGUUAAUGUAAAGUACAUUUGCCUCACCUAGGAGCCAUCAGGACUUCACAAGUACAACAGAGCAUCCCAUGACAACAGAGCCAACUUGGAAGUACUGUUCAUUGCCAUCGCAGAUUAAUUAUCAACUCCACUGCCUGCUCUUCAAGACUUGGGACCUUCAGAAAUGAAUCAAAUAUUAGAAAAUAUAAAGUUGGCUUCUGUUUACACCCCUGCUCAUUUCUACCUCUGUGGAUUGGAAGAUAAGAAAGCCAAAUUUCUUGCUCCCCAGGGUACCACUGAAGAUUCAUAUCCAUGGAACAGAGUCCAAUUAUAACAUUUCCUGAGAUUCUGAAAGUCUUAUGUGAUCAAGCUGAGAUUUUUUUGAUUGGGAUUGAGCUCCAUUAACCUUUCUCAAAGAGAAGGAAUCUUUUUGCACUGUGCUAAGGGACUCUACCCAUAUAAGUCAGCAUGUGACUUGCCAGGUAAAAGAACUAUGUGUGGAAUACUUCAACAAAAUCUAUCCUUUCAAAUACCGUAUUUAUUAAUGAGUAGCAAUAAAAGAAUGAAAAUUAGUUUUCA